GCGUAGGUAGCUCAAGGGUCUAGAGCAGCGGAUGUAAUCCGCAGAAUCGGGUUCGAGUCCCGACCGACGCA
rnacentral:tRNA from 1 species